rnacentral:rRNA from 1 species
UACGUAGGGUGCAAGCGUUUGUCCGGAAUUAUUGGGCGUAAAGAGCUUGUAGGCGGUUUGUCGCGUCUGCUGUGAAAUUUCGGGGCUCAACCCCGAACUUGCAGUGGGUACGGGCAGACUAGAGUGUGUAGGGGAGACUGGAAUUCCUGGUGUAGCGGUGAAAUGCGCAGAUAUCAGGAGGAACACCGAUGGCGAAGGCAGGUCUCUGGGCAUUAACUGACGCUGAGGAGCGAAAGCAUGGGGAGCGAACAGG